UACGUAGGGUGCAAGCGUUGUCCGGAAUUAUUGGGCGUAAAGAGCUCGUAGGCGGUCUGUCGCGUCGGCUGUGAAAACCCGAGGCUCAACCUCGGGCCUGCAGUGGGUACGGGCAGACUAGAGUGCGGUAGGGGAGAAUUGGAAUUCCUGGUGUAGCGGUGGAAUGCGCAGAUAUCAGGGAGGAACACCCAGAGUCGGAGCGAAUCGUCAUUCGGCCUGGAC
rnacentral:rRNA from 1 species